ACUCAAAGGAAUUGACGGGGGCCCGCACAAGCAGCGGAGCGUGUGGUUUAAUUCGAGGCUACACGAAGAACCUUACCUGGGCUUGACAGCGCGGUGGUAGGGAAGCGAAAGCUGACCGACCUUCGGGAGCCGCGAUCGGUGCUGCAUGGCUGUCGUCAGCUCGUGUCGUGAGAUGUUCGGUUAAGUCCGAAAACGAGCGCAACCCUCGGCGUUAGUUACAGGUGUCUAGCGCGACUGCCCGUGAGAAACGGGAGGAAGGUGGGGAUGACGUCAAGUCAGCAUGGCCUUGAUGUCCAGGGCGACACACACGCUACAAUGGUCGGUACAAUGGGAGGCCAACCCGCGAGGGGGAGCCAAGCCUAAAAAGCCGGUCGUAGUUCGGAUUGCAGGCUGCAACCCGCCUGCAUGAAGCAGGAGUUGCUAGUAACCGCGCAUCAGCAGUGGCGCGGUGAAUACGUUCCCGGGCCUUGCACACACCGCCCGU
rnacentral:rRNA from 1 species